GUUUUUUUUCUCUCUCUCUCUCUCUCUCUCUCUCUCUGCAGUGCAGUUUCUCUCUGGCCACCACAAGCAUCGCCAAUUUCCAAGCCCAGAAAUGUGUGGGUAGUGGGUAUUGGGUGAUUAGUCGAAUGCAUUUUUUCUCUGUACAAAAUCGGUCAAGAUGGAGAUAGAGAGAAUUGAGAGGUGGAGAAGCACAUUUUUGGGGCUCACGCAUAGCAGGUGGGACAUCAGGGAAAACACGCAUGCUCAGAGCUUGCAAACACAUCUGCUCCAGCUUAGGAGUACCACUAAGAUCCUCAGCCAUUAACAAAGCAGCCUUCUCAUGCA